GGGAAGCUUGCUUCCUGGUGGCGAGCGGCGGACGGGUGAGUAAUGCAUAGGAAUCUGCCCGGUAGUGGGGGAUAACCUGGGGAAACCCAGGCUAAUACCGCAUACGUCCUACGGGAGAAAGCGGGGGCUCUUCGGACCUCGCGCUAUCGGAUGAGCCUAUGUCGGAUUAGCUGGUUGGUGAGGUAACGGCUCACCAAGGCGACGAUCCGUAGCUGGUCUGAGAGGAUGAUCAGCCACAUCGGGACUGAGACACGGCCCGAACUCCUACGGGAGGCAGCAGUGGGGAAUAUUGGACAAUGGGCGCAAGCCUGAUCCAGCCAUGCCGCGUGUGUGAAGAAGGCUUUCGGGUUGUAAAGCACUUUCAGUGGGGAAGAAGGCCUGGCGGCCAAUACCCGUCAGGGGCGACAUCACCCACAGAAGAAGCACCGGCUAACUCCGUGCCAGCAGCCGCGGUAAUACGGAGGGUGCAAGCGUUAAUCGGAAUUACUGGGCGUAAAGCGCGCGUAGGCGGCUCCAUCAGCCGGUUGUGAAAGCCCCGGGCUCAACCUGGGAACGGCAUCCGGAACUGUGGGGCUAGAGUGCAGGAGAGGAAGGUAGAAUUCCCGGUGUAGCGGUGAAAUGCGUAGAGAUCGGGAGGAAUACCAGUGGCGAAGGCGGCCUUCUGGACUGACACUGACGCUGAGGUGCGAAAGCGUGGGUAGCAAACAGGAUUAGAUACCCUGGUAGUCCACGCCGUAAACGAUGUCGACUAGCCGUUGGGUGCCUCGAGCACUUUGUGGCGAAGUUAACGCGAUAAGUCGACCGCCUGGGGAGUACGGCCGCAAGGUUAAAACUCAAAUGAAUUGACGGGGGCCCGCACAAGCGGUGGAGCAUGUGGUUUAAUUCGAUGCAACGCGAAGAACCUUACCUACCCUU
rnacentral:rRNA from 1 species